ACUUCUUUUCUUAAAAUUCAUACAUGUAUGAUGUAUGAAGUUCAACUUCAUACACAAGCUCAGCUCCUGCAUCAUUCAGUCCAUAAAGCUUUUUACUUCUCGUGCUACAUGUAUGUAAAGGCAAAAAAGGUUUGACUGUCAUUGUCUGCACUUAGACAGCCGCAGAAACGUUUCUUAUGUCUUUAUGAUGAAUAUGAUUGUCGAAAUGUUUUCAAAGGAUUCAAAUUGUUAUUUGUUGCAGCGUGUGUGAUAAACAUGUGUAAAGAAACCUUUCGUAAGAAGCCAGAAGAGCUUUACAACAAUCUUGGACUGGGAGAUGGAGGCCAUCAUAAACUUCUUGUAGGAUGAGUUGGCGCAGACAGAGAUGAAAACCAUGAUGAAUGUCUGUGAGCAAGAGGCUAUGAUUUGUUUAGUAAAACAAUGCGAGGGACUUAACAAAAUUGAUGCGAAAAUGUUCUUGAGGCAGUGUCGGUGCAUGGAAGAAACGGAAACAUUGGAUUAAGGAUUUAGGAUUAAUUAAGGAUUUAUUUCAUAGUGAAUUACACAAUCACAAAUGGAUUACACACGUUCUGGAUUAGACUAGUUCCUGCUGCAACUGACAUUUUUGCAGGUGCCCACUCGUAGGCGAUUUCUUGAUGUCUUCCUUGGAUUUUACAUGAUAUUAUGUCAUUUUUCGCCAACAUCGGGUUUUGGCGCCAAGACGUUUGUUCCUAGAACGGUUGAUUUAAAUGCCGAAUGUGGUCAGUUUUAAUUUAUGUCGCUGGUGUCUACCCGAACAAUUUUAGAUGCUUUCUGCUGAAUCUUCUACUACUACUGUUUUUACUGGGUUUCAUCGAUGUUUUUUGGUGGAGUGUGACUCUAAAGUAGUAGGCAGCUUGUUAUGCCCCCGCCAAUGCGUAAAGCAUUGCAGAGGCAUUAUGUUUUACCGAUGUCCGUCAGCCGGUAGGCGUCAGGCGUCUGUAAACUUUUCGUUUCCGCUCAUUUUAACGAGAACGCUUUGAGUAAUAACCAUGUAACUUUUUAUGUGGGUAGAAAAAGAUAACGUGUACAGCGGGCAUUACAGACCAAUAUCUCUCUUUCACGAUGUCAACUAAACCCAGUCAGCUAUGACACCAGCUGCCCGGGGUUGUCUGAAAAACACUUCACUUUCCUAAUACACCAACUCAAUGUGCUCACCGGGGCAUAUGCUACGCUCUGCAUUGCUCUUGUUAUUGCAGUAUUUUUGUUUUUCCUCUGGUUCACCUAUAAACUAUUUUUCCAAUCUCCAAUCAUGUUUGAUGCUUUAGCCAUUUUGUUUCAGCUCUUAGAUAGUAGAAAAACGUGUUAUUCAUUAUUUCUAGUAGCACAAGUCCUGGCACGAAAUACCUUUCCCGCCAAAAUAUCAGUACCAAGACGUCACAGGGUAGGUCCUAACUGCAGGAAACGCCUUACUAGUGCAUUGUUCCAUGUGAAAAGGGUCACUGCUUGGAGAGCUAAAUGGGGUCAACAUCAGAAAAGUGCGAUAAUUCAGUAUUUGGAAUUUUUGGCUCACUGUUAGGGGAGUCUAUACGAUAGGCCUGUGUCCGUCGUCGUCGUUCUUCGUCUGUGUGGCACGUUUCUUAACCACGUGUACUAUGAACUUGAAACUUUGUACACAUGACCUCCUAGGUCAGAGGUACUCUGACACUGAAUUUCGGUCCGGUCUAGUUCAUGACUUGGCCACCAGGGGGCAUAAACAUAAAAAGUGUGAUAUGUCUCCUAUUAAUGAUCCGUUUUCAAUAAAACUUUUAUGUAGGUACUCCUAGCAAGGAUACAUCACAUAUCAUACGGGUUUUUGAUUUGACCUACUUUUCAAGGUCACAGAGGUCUAAUGGCGUAAGGAUGUAACUAUGGCACGUUUCUAAACUGCAAUGACUAUUGAUCCCAAAUUUGGUACACAUGUACCCCUUAGUCAGGUGAUCUCAGGGACCGAAGUUCGGUCCAAUAUGAUUCACCACUUGACCACCAGGGGGACAAAAUCCAAAAACCUUAAAAAUGUGAUUAUUCCUUCUUGCCCGAUUGCCACCAAUUUGAUAUCAUGGGUACAUCUUACCACCAUACAGUAUAUGUCACACAGGUUUUUAUUUUGACCUACUUUUCAAGGUCACAGAGGUCAAAUGGCGUAAAUUGGUCGUCAGGCUGUAACUAUGGCACGUUUCUCAACCGCAAUGACUAUUGAUCACAAAUUAAGUACAUAUGUACCCAUUGGUCAGGUGAUCUCAGGUACCGAAGUUUGGUUCGAUCUGAUUUGUCGUUUGGCCUCCAGGGAGGGGGCCAAAUCCAAAAUUCUUAAAAAUGCUAUUAUUCCUUAAUUACUUGCCCGAUUGGCGCCAAUUUUAUAUCAUAGGUACAUCUAAUUCUAACAACAAUUCAAUGUGUCACCCGGGUUUUUUUUUAUUUGACCUACUUUUCAAGGUCACAGAGGUCAAAUGUACUGUAAAUUGGCCAUUUUGGGGAAAUUGUAAUUGGUUGGACCUACAUCAAACCUAACACUACAUUACAUAAUACCAUGCUCUUCAUCCAUCUUUCCUCCGCAUGAGGUGAGCACAAUGGCCCUGGCCAUUUCAUUCCUUUUUUUGUGCAAUUUGUUGAUGAAAACUACUUAUGUAGAACAUGAGAUGACUGGGCAGCGGACAGCUGGGUAAUAUUGCCCUUAAUUAUGCCUAAGGUCCUUUAAUAAUUUUGGUACCAACCCAGGUGCUUGAAGUGGUUGGAAUACCAUAACCUAUGCAGACACGUGAGGGCCAUUUACACGGAACCAGUGAUCUUGACCGAUCCAGAUUAUUCUAGAUUGGUUUACUGCGUUUAACCUCUUGACUCCCAAAACUUGAAAAUCACGGGAUCCCAGGGUAGUCAUGUGGUUGCUAAAUUGGGUCAGACUUUUACGAUGUAUAGCGCCCGCAUACAACCGCCAAAGUCCGGUAACGAGGCACCAUCUACCCAGGCUUGCUCUAACUGACCCUACUGUACAUCAAACACGCUAAAACCAGCAAUAAAAUAGCGUCCCAGCUCAAGGGAAUAAAAAUAUCACUGAGACCGAGCUGUCGGUCGUUGGGAAAAAACAUUAUUUCAAAAUGACUGACUGGUCGGUCACCGGGAUUCAAGAGGUUGACUGCGCACCAUUGGUCAUUCGCAAGAAACACAAUGUUUAAGUUUUGAAUAUAAAGUUAAAAUAAAAGAUUGAGGUGUGUCGCGUAAUCAAGCCAUGUGCGUAUUUAUUUACGCGACACUCGUUAAUCAUCUUCUGUAAUAAUUUGUUUGAGUAAUCUGGGAAAGUUUUGAAAAAUGGCGUCCAUAAGUACAUUUACAUUCUUCGCUCAUGCCUCAUCUCAACUAGAGACCUUUGACGAGAGAUAAUGGCUUUUUCUGGCAUUUAUCUGAAAAACUUGACUUUCCUGAGAAACGUGACAGUGCCCAAGUUGUGGGGUAAUUACACAUUUCUUCAAGUCCCUAGAUAACAUUCAUUGAGUUAAGUUGAAAUCAGCAUGACAGUGAACUGAAUGGCGGCAAGAAUUUCCAGCAAGUACUUGUACCGGUAAUAUUUUUGUCUGACAACAACCGUUUUUGGGCCUUUUGAGCUUAUUUGACCUUAUUAUAUAUGACAGUAGUAGACAGAUCAAGUUGUUUGAAAUGACUGACAUAAUUUUAAAAGCCCUUGUCCUGCAAUUGCCACCGUGAUAAUGUAUCUCAAGUGCCGCAGCCACAGAUGUACAAAUGAUAAUCAUGUUUGGCAAAAUUAAAUGUGUGGUGAAUAUUGAAAGUUCAAGUGUGAACACAUUAUGUAAAAGUGUGGAAUUACACAGCGAGAACUGUAUAAUCCCAGUGAAUGAUUUUUAUACAUAUUGAAGUCAUAAAGACUGUGAGUGUGAAUUUCAUCCUGAUACUCAAAGGCAGAAAGGGAAUUGAAGAUAGUGACAAAAAUGGUAUUUUUUCCUAAUGUUAAGUCGGGAUCGUGGGAUUAUUGAUUUCUGCCCGUUUCUAGUAUUCUGAGGAUGUAUUUGGUCAUUUGUUUUGAUGCAUGAAUGAAGUAACCCGGAUCGCAAUUAUUUAAAAAUUUGUGUAGAAACUUCAUUUGUAGUAGAGUGUGUAUAUCUGUUACUUCUAAUGCUUUUAAUGUCUUGGAUAAGGGUUUGGUGUGGGCAAUGAGCAGAGCAGAUAAUAAUAAUGAAAUGACCUGAAA